UACGGAGGGUGCGAGCGUUGUCCGGAAUCACUGGGCGUAAAGGGCGCGUAGGCGGCAGGCCAAGCGUGCGGUGAAAGUCCGGGGCUCAACCCCGGAUCUGCCGUGCGGACUGGUUUGCUGGAGCACUGUAGAGGCGAGUGGAAUUCCGGGUGUAGCGGUGGAAUGCGUAGAGAUCCGGAAGAACACCGGUGGCGAAGGCGGCCUGCUGGGCAGUUUUGCUGACACUGAGGCGCGACAGCGUGGGGAGCAAACAGG
rnacentral:rRNA from 1 species